AAAGCAAGUUUAAGCUUUGAAGGAAAGAGGUCCGAGAACGACUGUUUAUCUGUGUAGUAUGUGACUUCUUGAUUGAAAACGAGGGAAGAAAUUAAACGUGUAAUUGGUGGUGUAAAAAAACUCUUCAAUAUCUUAUUUCAUUUAUCAAACGUUGACGCCUGCAGUGUGCAAUUUUUCGACAUGCAGCUACAAAUUAAAUGGACUAUGAAUAGCUUGCCAGCCCUUUGUAACAGUUCCUAACAACUCUUGAGAUACACACUUGACAAGGUAUCAUCAUAAAUGAUUAGAGGAUAAUGGAGGGAACUACUACUACUACUACUGGUUACAAAUACAAGCCAUGUACAAGGAUGCAGAGAACACCGUGCUCAAAUGAUUAGAUGUGAACAGGUAGGGGAAGGCGGGUAUUGUUCAAACUUGAAAGGAAUGAUCAGUCGUUAAUACCAAAUGUUUGCAGAGGAAGAUGGUAUUGAAAAUUUACUUGACCUUCUGGACAUCCGGCAGAUUUUCUGUUCCUGAUAUUACUGCGUUUGAGAGAAAAAAAGAUGGUACAAGGAUGAACACGAUGUUGACUACGACUUCUACCCAAAGGAACAAACGAUUACCCGGUCGAGUAGACAAUCAUCACCAUCCAGGCGGUCUUGUCAACGAGGGAUGGAGAAGGUUUUUAUGACGAGGUGAUGUUGGAUCAGAUUUGCUAGUGACUGCUUGGUCAUCUUACGGUGAGAUGUAGUCCAGUUUGGCCCUUGUGAGAGGGAAGCUGUACAGGGAACCUAUCAAAAUUCAAAUUAUCUCUCCCUCUUCCCCCAAUCCUCCGACCCAAUCAACUUCAGUAGCAGCCCCUAUAGAGGCCUCGAAACCGGGGGAGGGGCGCUUUUCUCCCAUAACCGUGUACAAAAAAGGAUAAAAUUACCAUCAGAUUUUGAUUUUAUUGCAUGAUCAGCACCCCCCCCCCCCCCCACACACACAUUUUCAAAACCGUUCCGUUGCCUCUCGGCUUUGGGGAAAGUAGCUUCCAUCUCACAAGAGCCAAACUCGACUGGGUGAUACGAGGUCUGACGUCAUUGUUGAGCGACCAAUUCGAGAGGACCUACCGUUUCACCAUCAGGAGGUGGGUGUGGACGAUGAGCAGGAAAAUGAUCGACGAAGGUAGUACCAUGGUGUUGGAAAGUUCACCAGAUGCAGUCUCAUCAUGAUGAGGGGUGAUGCCAGUGAUCAAGGAUCCACUUUGUCUUCUGCCGGCCCCCAAAAUCCCGAGAAACUUAACGUUCCGUCUUCUCUUUGAUCCGUUUUAGGGGGAUAUUCAGACAGAUAAGGUAUAAAAGGUAAAGAACGAGAUAACUUAAUCUCCAUUUGCUUUUCCGGCGUAGAUGCACGACUGAAUUGUGCUUUAGUAUUUUCUGUUCUCGUUUAUAUUCCUGUCCCAUAAUGACCACAAUUCUCUGAUACUAAUUAAUAGAAAGAAGGAGAGGAGGAAGAGGAGGAGGCGGAAUAUCAUAUAUUUUUUUUUAGUUCCGCGUGAUGUUUGUAAUUGUUUAAGACUUAUUUUGGAUUUCGGUAAAAACACCACAUUUGGUCCAUGGCGAUUUCCUAAGGAAUUCUUGUUAACUGUGAAUGCAUUAAAUUUAGUCUUUAGAUACUUUAAAGGGCAAUGUUUCGUAAAUCUCCGUCACUUUGCUUCCUCGCAUGGGUCUUCUCAAAAUCUCACAAUUUCGCGCCCCAUUCAGUUAUAAAACAACCUUUUCGUACAUGACUAUAAUCGGGGUUCCGUUUUUGCAGCAUUCUUAAAGGUUCAAAGUUAAUUUAAAAGAAAUGUUACCUGAGCGCAGAAAAGGCCCCAAAAAGUUUCAAUCUUUCAUUAUAUCAAUUUCUUUUACUCUACUCCCAAUCUGUGAUGCUAAAACAAAA